rnacentral:rRNA from 1 species
CCUACGGGGGGCAGCAGUGGGGAAUAUUGCACAAUGGGCGCAAGCCUGAUGCAGCCAUGCCGCGUGUGUGAAGAAGGCCUUGGGGUUGUAAAGCACUUUCAGCGGGGAGGAAGGCGCUAAGGUUAAUAACCUUGUCGAUUGACGUUACCCGCAGAAGAAGCACCGGCUAACUCCGUGCCAGCAGCCGCGGUAAUACGGAGGGUGCAAGCGUUAAUCGGAAUUACUGGGCGUAAAGCGCACGCAGGCGGUCUGUCAAGUCGGAUGUGAAAUCCCCGGGCUCAACCUGGGAACUGCAUUCGAAACUGGCAGGCUAGAGUCUUGGAGAGGGGGGUAGAAUUCCAGGUGUAGCGGUGAAAUGCGUAGAGAUCUGGAGGAAUACCGGUGGCGAAGGCGGCCCCCUGGACAAAGACUGACGCUCAGGUGCGAAAGCGUGGGGAGCAAACAGGAUUAAAUACCCUAGUAGUC